UUGGGCGCUGUCUCAACGAGGGACUCGGUGAAGUUGUAGUGUAAGUGAAGAUGCUUACUACCCGCGACAGGACGGAAAGACCCCGUGAACCUUUACUGUAGCCUGAUAUUGAAUUUUAGCAUAUCCUGUGUAGGAUAGGUGGUAGGCUGUGAAAGAGGGGCGUUAGCCUCUCCGGAGCCAUCCUUGAAAUACCACCCUUGAUAUGUUUGGAUUCUAACCUUUCGCCGUUAUCCGGCAAAGGGACAGUAUUUGGUGGGCAGUUUGACUGGGGCGGUCACCUCCUAAAGAGUAACGGAGGUGUCCCAAGGUCUCCUCAGUGUGGUUGGAAAUCACACCUAAGAGUGUAAGGGCAUAAGGAGGCUUAACUGCGAGAGAGACAUCUCGAGCAGAUGCGAAAGCAGGGCCUAGUGAUCCGGCGGUAACUAGUGGAUGUGCCGUCGCUUAACGGAUAAAAGGUACUCCGGGGAUAACAGGCUUAUCUCCCCCAAGAGUCCAUAUCGACGGGGAGGUUUGGCACCUCGAUGUCGGCUCGUCGCAUCCUGGGGCUGAAGCAGGUCCCAAGGGUUUGGCUGUUCGCCAAUUAAAGCGGUACGCGAGCUGGGUUUAGAACGUCGUGAGACAGUUCGGUCCCUAUCCGUCGUGGGCGUAGGAUACUUGAAGAGGGUCUGCCUCUAGUACGAGAGGACCGAGGUGGACGAACCUCUAGUGUACCAGUUGUCCUGCUCAGGGCAUUGCUGGGUAGCUACGUUCGGUCGGGAUAAACGCUGAAAGCAUCUAAGCGUGA
rnacentral:rRNA from 1 species